ensembl:lncRNA long intergenic non-protein coding RNA 453
CACGUCCCUCAGCGCCCCCGCGUGCGUCCCCACGUCACUCAGGGGCCCUGCGUGCGUCCGCUCAGUGGCCGGGUGUAUGUCCCCUCAGCGGUCCAGCAUGUAGGUUGUGUGGUGUUGCUUUUCGAGGUGGUUUGUGAUGCUUGGAGGACCCUGCAGGUUACCUGGGCCCCACCAGGUCAUCAGGAGCAUCUCCCAUCUCAAGAUUCAUCACCGAGUUCCCUAUGCAGAGUCCCUGGUGCGGUGUAAGCAAGCAAUCCACAGGUUCCAGCGGGUGGGGUGUGGAUAUCAGGCAUGCGUGUUCUUCCAAGCUUGCAAAAGUUACACAAAUGUAUGCCAUGAGGGUUAGAGGUGAGGACAUAACUCCAAAGCAGACUCCAGGUCUUCCCAGGCCACACAUUCUCUUCCCAUCAUUAAUUGGAAUUGGAAUUCGUUUUUGUGCCAUAGCGUAUGUUUCAAAGUCACGUUCAGGUGAAUCAUUAAAUGCUACCAACCAUAGACAAUAAAAUAAUAAAAUCUAAAAGUUCA